rnacentral:lncRNA from 1 species
GUAAAACUAACCUGUCUCACUACGAUCUAAAUCCAGCUCACAAUGAACCCCUUCUCCACUUCGGCCUUCAAAGUUCUCAUUUGAAAAUUUGCUACUACCACCAAGAUCUGCACCUGUGGCCUAUCACUCCUUAGCGGAUUCCAACUUCCAUGGCCACCAUCCUGCUGUCUAUAUCAACCAACACCUUUUCUGAGGUCUGAUGAGCAUUGGCAUCGGGCAUCUUAACCCGGC